rnacentral:rRNA from 1 species
GCCCUUCGCAAAUUACCCACUCUCAGCACGAGGAGGUAGUGACGAAAGAUAACGAGACCGUUCUCUUAUGAGGCCGGUCAUCGGAAUGGGUACAAUUUAAACCCUUUAACGAGUAUCUAUGAGAGGGCAAGUCUGGUGCCAGCAGCCGCGGUAAUUCCAGCUCUCAAAGUGCAUAGAAUUAUUGCUGCGGUUAAAAAGCUCGUAGUUGGGUCUGUGCCAUAGGACGUGGUCCACCUUCGGGUGCGUACUACGCUCCUAGGCUUUUUGCUGGUUUUCCCGUCGUAGCCUUCACUGGUUGCGGCGGGUGGCUGGCGAGUUUACUUUGAGAAAAUCAGAGUGCUCAAUACAGGCCGUAUCGCUUGAAUGAUUGUGCAUGGAAUAAUAGAAAAGGAUUUCGGUCCUCUUUUAUUGGUUUUGUGGACUGAGAUAAUGGUUAACAGGGGACAAACGGGGGCAUUCGUAUCUCUGCNUGAGAGGUGAAAUUCUUGGACCGUAGAGAGACGCCCUNCUGCGAAAGCAUUUCCAAAGAAUGUCUUUNAUUAAUUAAGAACCAAAAGUCANAGGUUCNAAGGGCNANCCANAAUNCCNCCCUAAUUCUNANCCGUAAACCGAUGCCCANCUUANCGAUNCCGCCNGGNGGAUUUUUUAGCCCCUUGGUGGGUANGCUUUCCCGGAAAACNAAAGUUUUUCCGGUUCCGGGGGGAAAAUANU